UACAACAGAAAACCCGUUUAGAACUUCUGGAUUAUGAAGACUGGGACAUUUAAUUAUUGGUUCCUUUCACUCAAAGCUAUUAUUACUCCUUAAUAGCUGUUUAAAACUUCCAGGAUAUUGGCCUCACCUAAGAUAAGACACCAGAGAGACUGAUCACAUAGCAGCUAAUAUAGGCAAAGUCUUGUACGGAGACCUCCAAAUAGAUGUUUUCAGGAAACUCAAUGAGGUUCAAGACAACUCCAAGAAAACAAUUCAGUAUUUUAUCAGCAAAAUGGAGUGGACAAACAAACCAUAUCUAAAGCAGAAAUACUUGAGCUAAAAAAAAACUGUUUUCAGCUACGUGAAAAAUGGGAUGGAAGGCAUCAAGGACAGAACAGACCCAACAAUGGCAAUCUGUUGGGAAAUACACAGAGAAGAAAAAAGAGAAAAGAGUGAAAAUGAAAGAAGGAAGCUCAUAUGGGCUUUGGGAUAACUUCAAAACAACUAAUCAGGUGAUGCUGACACUACAGUGCUACAAAUGUUACAUCAGACAACUUCCCAAACCUAGAGGAGGCUACAGAUAUAUUCCUAUAUAGGAAGAUCAAAGUCAAGGUCACAAGUCAGAUUCUACUCAAUGGAGAACAAGCCAAGAUACCUCACAAUUAAGAUGAAAGACUGGGAAAAAGUCCUCAGGCCUGGUCUGUAGUUCCUUCCUGAAUAUCCUAAAUGGCUGAACUCUGCUUCCUGUGGCUGAUUUUUGGUGCUUUCCGAAGGCGGUGUGAUUACUUCAGGUUGUUGUAGUAACACACUCCACCCAGGGGACACAUAUCCGGGCACAGGAAUGUACCCACCGCAGCUGACUGAAGAAGGCUAGGCAGAAGCCGUCCCCUUGGGAGAGCUGCCAAGACUGAAAGCCUUAGCUACCAAUGGAUUAGGGGACCAGGCAUUGCAGCAAUGGAUGCUAUGGAAGCUGCUGGGCAUUGAGGACCUGGGCUUUGCUCAGAUGCCACCGUUUGUACUGCUUGUUCAAGCUUCUCACUCCGUGUUUUCCUCAACUGCAAAAAGGGAAGGAUUGUGGUGCUCGCUGCAUAGGAUUAUUUGCAGAAUGAAGUGAGGCCAUCCAAGUAAGAUGGCAUUGUCCUUACUGGACACAGUGACCAUUAAGAAAUGUUAGUAACUCAUUAUCUUUUAAAUCCACAUCUUCUGGGACCAAGAGUCAAUGCAAAUAAUAGUCUUUUCCAGAAAUACUGCUGUGGGACUGCCUCACACCGACAGAAAGUAGAUGCUGUGCACGUCAUGAAGACUCCCCUUUGAGGGAAGACAUUGUUUCCGUCUCACAUUGAUAACCCUUCCUCCUCCAAGCAAGUGACUCACCAUUAAUGUAAAUGGAGAAGAAAAACAAACUCAGAAAGCAAAGGAAAUAAAGCCUGCCCCCUUUAAUUAUCACUCACAUAUUUCAUUAUGUUGGAUUCCCUCAGCCCUGAAAAUAAAUAUACAAGUAACACAAUGA